rnacentral:tRNA from 1 species
AAGGGCGGAUGUAGCCAAGUGGAUUAAGGCAGUG